UUGUCCAGAAACAUUUCUGAGAAGAUGCAUGCUGAGCUCAGUCCAUAAAUAGCCUUACCACUUCCUCAUAUGGUACAUUUUGCAAAAUGGAGCUUGUUGUACUUCUCUGCGCUGUUUCUCUACUGCAUUCAUGUGAAGCACAAGAGCCCAGUGCUGUGACUCCUGUGUUUGUGCAGAAGGGAGAGGAUGUCCUUCUGAAUGUCACAAUAGCUGAUGAUCCU